UACACUUAUUGUUAUCACCACUGUACAAACGAGCAGAGCCGGACGCAGGCAGGUGAAGCAGCUUGCCCCAGGUCCACAGCAGUCGGGAUUCAAACCCCGGUCUGCCUGAUCCCUUUCUCCACACACUCGACUGUAACGCACCACACGUUUGUGUAUGUAGGUAUAUUUGUGCCAUGAACUUGGAGUGAGCCAAAAGCCUUUCCUGGCCUCAGGUCCUGCUCUGGGAGAUGAGUGCAAUCAGCCAGACCCUGAGAAGGUGCCGUGUGAGCGUUGGUGAAGCAGGAGGAGCAGCUGCAGUUGCACCGGAAGAGAUGCAGGAAGGUUGAGAGAGGCCUGACUUGAGCCAGCGUGCUGGAGAACCACGGCCGACCGUGACACGCUCAGUCCCGGACCAGCGACUGGCGCCCUGUGGAUGGGAAGACCAGACACCCUUGAGGAAGGUCCCUGCUCCUCUGCAUCUGCCAGGCCUGAGGCUGGAAGUCCUUGCCACAGGGCCACCAACAAGUGUCACCUGCUGGGGUCUGAACAACACCCAGAACGGAGGGAAGGAGGUGAAACGAGCACAUUUUGCUUCUGUUGUUAAUGGCUUUACUGAGGUAUAACUGACAUGGAACAAACUGCACAUAUUUAAAGUGUCAAAUCUGAAUACAUCUUGACACAUGCAUACACAGUCAAGGUAGUGAACAUAGCCCUUUCCCCAAAACACAGCCAUCUCCCCAAAAGUUCCCUCUGCUCCUUUGUAAUCCCCACCCCUGCCACCCGCCCGCUCCUCUCAUCCCCAGGCAACCACUGGUCUGCGGUCUGUCCCCACAGGUCAUAUCUGCGCCUGGCAUCUUUAACGACUUUGAGACCCAUCCGCGGCCGGCCCUGCGCACGCCAAUCCUUCAUUGCCACUCACUGCUGAGGAGUGUUCCAUCGUCCUGACAACCGCUACGGAAACUUACAUAGGAGUCUUCCGGGGGACACACGCUCCCACUUCUCUGGGCAGACAGGAAUGGACAAGUCAUGUGAUUUGGGGAAAUUCUCCAGAGCAGAGUCUGUAAUCUGCAGCCUGUAAAAGAGAAGGGAGGAAAAACUGGCUGAGGACAACAUCUGUACUGUGCACCACCACCCCCCAAGCAGAGAAGCCUGGCUCACCCCCACCAAGGAGCCACUUUGUGCCAAACCAAGGAGACGGAAGUGGGGGCACAGAACAAGAACAAAACAUCCACCAGCUUGGAAAGAGGAAGUUGGUAGAAUGAGCCUGUGCGGACUGUAGGCUCAGAGACCAAUGGCAGAUGGUGCUUCCAAACACCCUCUGUGCACUAGGGUCUAAGCCUAGGCCAGAGGGUCUGGGUUGGUGGCCGGAUGGAGGAACCAGAGGGCACAGGUCCCCUCUUGCUCAGCAAUAUUUCGGGACCCCCUUGAAAGUUACCGGGUUCUUUACAGCUCCAGGGAAGCUCCUAGAGGGAGUGGCCAGUUCGCCCCACCCAGCCUGUGACCCUCUCUCUUAGUUUCCAGAACACCAGGUGCCUGUUUUUCCCUGAUCCUCUUCCCCCUCCCCCAGACAUCAGGGUACCCCCUGGCUCUUCUCUCGCUCCUCGCACCCCCCUUCCCAGCUCCCUCUGGCCUCUGUCCUCAUCUGGAGGCCACACCUGUAUGGGCAGCUGCCAAUCAGUCUUCACACCUGGAUGUCGCAAUGGCCCCUUGAAGCUCACAGGUCCCAAGAGGAACUCAUGGUCAGCAUGUGGCAGAUAAAACAUCAUCCUCAGCCACCACCUACCAGCCUUUCAGCAAAAAGGGGAAAAGAAUGGAUUUUUCUGGUUAGGCUACUCGGGAAAUAAAGGCCCAAUGCCCGGGGGGGCCCGAUUAUAGGGUUUUCUUUUGGAGUCUGGACAGAGUGAGAAG